GACGAACGCUGGCGGCGUGCUUAACACAUGCAAGUCGAACGGAAAGGCCCUGCUUGCAGGGUACUCGAGUGGCGAACGGGCGAGUAACACGUGGGUGAUCUGCCCUGCACUUCGGGAUAAGCCUGGGAAACUGGGUCUAAUACCGGAUAGGAGCCAUUCUUAGUGUGAUGGUUGGAAAGUUUUUUCGGUGUAGGAUGAGCUCGCGGCCUAUCAGCUUGUUGGUGGGGUAAUGGCCUACCAAGGCGGCGACGGGUAGCCGGCCUGGGAGGGUGGACGGCCACAUUGGGACUGAGAUACGGCCCAGACUCCUACGGGAGGCAGCAGUGGGGAAUAUUGCACAAUGGGCGCAAGCCUGAUGCAGCGACGCCGCGUGGGGGAUGACGGCCUUCGGGUUGUAAACUCCUUUCGCUAGGGACGAAGCUUUUUGUGACGGUACCUAGAUAAGAAGCACCGGCUAACUACGUG
rnacentral:rRNA from 1 species